GCCAAGGAGGAGAAGCAGCAGGAGGAGAGGGCAGGGCAGCCCUCUUCUCAGGCCCUGGCAGGGCUCCCCUCCUGUCCAGGGAUCUGUCCUAACCUGCUUUCCCCGACCUCUGACCUCCCUGACCUCUGACCUCCAUCACAACUAUCCCCAACCUAAGAUAACACUCAGCAGAUGCAUGGGGUUGUAUGAGGCCUCUUCAGCACCGCUCCACCAGAGCACUCAUUACAUUGAUGGUGGCAACCGUUUAUGGAAUACCUGCUGUAUUCCAGGCACCACACACACACAGACACACACCCCGUGACAUUUAAACCCCACAAGAACCUAGUAAGGUAGAUAUUAUGGCUCUCAUCUUGUAGAUGAGGAUCUCAAAGAUCAGAGAGGUGAAGUAAUUUGCCCAAAGUCACACAGCUAGUAAGCAUCAGGAUCUCACCAAAUCAGCUAAUACAUGGAACAUGCUUACACCAGUGCCUGGCACCAGCAGGCACUCAAUAAAUGCUGGCACUGUUUUUGUUAGUACCAUCAGUUAGGUGUGCCUGGCUGCAAGGUCCAUAGCCCCGGGGCCUCACUGACUCAUCUUGCUCAGUUCUCGAGCUCUGUUAUCUAUGUGUCUGCUCCAUGGGCUGUGGGAUCCUGCACAGCAGGAAGGGCCAGGUUGCUCUGUGGGUCCCUAGCACCCCACCUGGGGCGGCUCAGAGUAGGUGCUCAGUGAUGCUAGACCGAAUAAAGGAGACAGGAAGCUCCUGGAGGGCAAGGACUAUGUCCUAAGAAUCACGGGAUUCCCCCAGCCAUGAGUGUCCCUGAGAAUCAUGGGAUUUCCCCAGCCAUGGCUGUCCCUGAGAAUCAUGGGAUGUCUCUGUGGGAGGAGCCUCCGUCACCACUUCCACCAGGACAGUCCAUUUCUCCUACCAGCCGCCUCCCCCGUCCUCAGGAAUCAGCCCAUAGUCAGCUCCCACCAGCCCCACCUUCCUCCUAGCCCUGGCUCUGGGCCCUCCGAGGCCUCACCCGGGGGAGCACAUCACAUCCAUCCUGACGCUCUGGUCUGCCGUGGUCUUCCCACAAACGGGCCUGGAGCCCCUGUCUCUGCCUCGGGCAGGGGCAGGGGGACCGGCCGCCUGGGGUCCCGGCCUGGCCUCUGGCUUUUGGUGGGAGCCUGGGCAGGCCCCUGUCCCCUCCGGGCCUCAGUGUCUGCACCCUCCACUGAGGCACCACGAAGCGUCCCCUUGUUCUGCCGUCCCAGAGGUUGGGCAGGUGCCGGACAAGCCCCACCUCCCUGCCAGUCUCUCCAGGCCGCUGGGUCUGCCCCUGACUGGCUGGUGUGUCGUUCCCCCGUCUGGGCCUCAGUUUCCCCAACAACGAGAUGAGCAUGGUCAUUUUCAUCACUUUUACUCAGCCUCGUCGGUUUGCUACAAGGAUCCAGCUGGAUGGGGGGUGAGGAAGUUCUGUUAAUAGCUCUCGGGCGCCUCUGGGUCCUUGAGGCUCAGGGGGAAGCGGCAUGUCUCCUUAAGGCCACUAGGUGGUGCCAACGGGCCACCCAUCUCCCUGAAGGCUGUCAAGUUCCACCCUGGGUUACUGCAGGACCACAGCCAGGUACCUCCUCCCACUGAGACGGGCCAGCUGGCAGAGGCAGGCUGUGCUGGGGUUAGGGACGGGCUUUAGGGUCAAGCGAACUUGAACUUGAAGUUCUACUCCGGGCCCUGCUCUUGGUGAGUGUCCUGGGUCUCUGCUUGGCAAUUAACUCGCUGGGUGUCACUGGGCAUGUCACAGGACCUGCGACUUGAGGUUCUUCAUCUGGGAAACAGGACAACGUGUCUUUUCUCCUGGGGCAUCCUGGAGACCAAAUGACAUCGGUCGUGUAAAAUAUCCAUCCCGCCUUCUGGCCCAGAGCGAGCCUCUGUGAGCACGUCUGUCACCAGCCAUUACUACUUUACAUGUCAGAGUCUCCCCUGGGGAGAACCUCGGGCAGGAAGCCCAGAGAACUGGAUCUGAAUUUGGCAAGUCCCUUCUCAUCUCUGGUUCUCUGUUGGCCCCAACGGACCUUGAGAGACUGGGAGCGUCGUGGAGAAAUAAGGGCUUGGGAAUCCGACAGACUUGGUGUGAAUGCGGUCCACCUCUCCUCUUCCCAGCUGUGCGCCCUUGGGCCUCCCUGGUGAGAAAACAGGCCCAGAGAAGGUGGGUCCCUGCCCAGGCUCACACAGCUACGGAGCAGUAGAAGCUGGGAUUUGAAACUGAGCCCCAAGACAGAUUCGUGUUGACAGAUGUAUAAACUGAAUACUGACCCUCCAGAGAGAUCCACGCCCUAAUCCCGGGAACCCCUGUGAAUGUCACCUCCCGAUGGCAAAGGGAUUCUGCAGAUGGGAAGAAGUGAAGGAUCUUGAGAUGGGAACAUUAUCCCCGAUUAUCCAGGUGGGCCUAAUGUCAUUGCAAGGAUCCUUCUCAGAGGGAGGUGGGAGCGUCAGAGUGGGAAGAAGAGAAGGGACAGCAGAGGGAGGAAAGGCCACGUGAUGUGGGAAUGAAGGCAGCACCCAUUCUAGAAAAGCCGGGAAGGGAAUUUCCCCUAGAACCCCCAGAAGGAAGAGCCCGGCUGACACCUUUCACCCAGUGACACAGACCUCGGACUUUGGACCUCCAGAACUGUAAGGUAAUAAAAGCAUGUUGUUUAAGCUA
rnacentral:lncRNA from 1 species